AGAAGAGAGAGGAACUUCCAUAUUCACCAGAGUUCAACACAGACCAUCAUCAUCAUCACCUUCAUUCAACAUGCUGUCAUUAGACUAUUAUUUACAUUCCCUACUCUUCGUUUCCAUUCUAAGAGAGUGUAAAGGACAAGACACAGUGACCCAGCCAGCAGGAGAAGUCAGCGCUACUGAAGGAGACACAGUUACACUUGGCUGCACAUUUCAGAUCAGUGUUGGCUCGAAUGUAUAUUUGUUCUGGUACAAACAAGAAGUCAAUGGUUACCCAAAGUACACGUUGAUGCGUUGGACAGGAACUGGAGAGAAUGCUGAAGAGUUCAAGAAAGACAGAUUUGAGGCUACACUCAACAAUAAAUCAGUUCCUCUGCAGAUCUCCUCUGCUGCAGUGACAGACUCUGCUGUGUACUACUGUGCUCUGAGGCCCACAGUGACAGGAAACACCAACACUCUGUACAAAAACCUUUGGAGCAAAGACAACACAGUACUGCACAGCAUCCACCAGAGGGAGUCUCUCUCUGUCAGACUUCAGCAGAGUUUAUCAGUCCUCUUUAUACUCGCUGUAGCUCAGAGUUUCUCAACCUGCAGAUAUGAUGCAUCUGAUUAUCUCAGUGUUGCUGGCUGCUAUGAGUCUUGGUAUGAACUCUUUGAUAUCAGUCCAACAUUGAGAUGA